GAUGAACGCUGGCGGCGUGCCUAAUACAUGCAAGUCGAACGGAAAGGCCCUGCUUGCAGGGUACUCGAGUGGCGAACGGGUGAGUAACACGUGGGUGAUCUGCCCUGCACUUCGGGAUAAGCUUGGGAAACUGGGUCUAAUACCGGAUAGGAGCCAUCUUUAGUGUGGUGGUUGGAAAGUUUUUUCGGUGUAGGAUGAGCUCGCGGCCUAUCAGCUUGUUGGUGGGGUAAUGGCCUACCAAGGCGGCGACGGGUAGCCGGCCUGAGAGGGUGUACGGCCACAUUGGGACUGAGAUACGGCCCAGACUCCUACGGGAGGCAGCAGUGGGGAAUAUUGCACAAUGGGCGCAAGCCUGAUGCAGCGACGCCGCGUGGGGGAUGAAGGCCUUCGGGUUGUAAACUCCUUUCGCUAGGGACGAAGCUUUUUUGUGACGGUACCUAGAUAAGAAGCACCGGCUAACUACGUG
rnacentral:rRNA from 1 species